AGUAAAAGCUCCUUUUUCCCCGGCUGGGGUCCUUAUAAAUUGGUGGUCGCCCUUGUCUUUGUCCUUCUUCUUCCAUUCGCAAGGGAGAGAGAGAUUUUGAUUUUGUAUGAAUAUAUAUUAGAAGGAUGAUAUUUUUGGCAAUAAAUCGUCCGAGGGAGAAGGGCUAAAGGCUAUCAAUGCCACUGAAGAAAUUAACAAAUUACUAAUGUUUUAAGCUUGGAAAGAUCGAGGCACACAGAUGGAGCCAGGCAAUAUAAUAUACUACUACUAGUUUUUUCUGCUCUUAAUUACUGUUAAUUUCUUGUUUCUUUUAUUUUCCUUUAUCCUUUUCUUCUGUUAGAUGUUAUAAUUAAUUUUUGUUAUAAAGAUGAGGAAAAGAGGAGUGAAUUAAAGCAGUGUUUUUAAUCGUUAAGUAUAUAUAAACAACUCAAAGUAAAACAAUUGUAUUCACAACAUAUAUUUUGUUGAAUGUUAAUUGUUUGUAUUCUUUUCUUAUGA
rnacentral:lncRNA from 1 species